UUAGUAAAUGCUACUGGUACUAGACGUACAGGAUUGAAGGAGAUCCUAGCUGAUGAAUCAUUAUCAGAUAUUAGUAACCUGUCACUAUGAGGAGGACGUGAUAUUAAGGAAGUGAUUGGAAUAACUAAAGAAUUCAAGACACCAUCGACUCUAAUAAAGCUAGAUAUUAAAGAUCUUGAUAUUGUCAUUGAAGAGCUAACAAUACUCAACCAUUUACCUUGCCAUAUAUGGCAUGAUCUUGGUCUUCAGCUAGGACUCUAUCAGCCAACACUAGAAGGCAUCUAUGAAGAUAAUAAUGGAGACUUUAAGAAGUGCUUCAGACAGUGUAUGUCUGCCUGGUUAAGAGGAAAAGAUAAAGU